ACUGGUGUUAAACCUCUACUAUUAUUAUUAUUACUAGAACAAUGACAGAUUUGAGGGAAGAUAUGAGAAACUAUUUAGCACGUUCAGAUACAGAUCAUUCCAAAACAAAGACAGAUUAUAUUGACAUCAUAAAAAAUAGCACAUUUAAAAGUUGGAUAUUUCCAGCAAAGUCUAACGUUAGUGAAGAAACUAACGUACUCAUUGAAGAUUCAGAAUCAAGUGACAUAAACAGAUUGUUUACACAAUCUGAGAAGGAUUCAUGUUUUCCUAGUUUGAGUAAAGGACAGCGAAUAGUUGGAUUUGUGGGAUGUAUUUUAAUUGGCUUUUUUUGUUUCACAUUGGCUGGAUUUUAUGUUCCAUUUCUGUUGUUGAAAUCAAGAAAAUUUGCUCUCUUGUAUAGUCUUGGAAGCUUAUUUAUUAUCUGCAGCUUUUCAUUACUAUGGGGUCCAGUUACUCAUGCCAAGCAUCUGUGUUCCAGGGAAAGAUUGCCAUUUACAAGUAUUUAUUUUGGUACUAUGUUUGCCACCCUUUACUUUGCCUUAUGGGCUCCUUGUCAAGACUGUAAAAGAAACUGUUAUGGAGGUAGCUAAGGAAUGUGUAUUAAGAACAAAAUAAACCAGUUGUUGAAAAAUUGUCAUCUGCUAGGAGCACCAUCCCAACAGCAGUUUGUGCAAUAUGCCAAGUUGUAUCAUUGAUCUGGUAUACAAUAAGUUAUGUUCCAGGAGGACAAACAGGACUUCAUUUCUUC
rnacentral:misc_RNA from 1 species